rnacentral:lncRNA from 13 species
CCAGACUGGAGUGAGGUGGUGCAAUCUCAGCUCACUGCAACCUCCGCCUCCUGGGUUCAAGCAAUUCUCCUGCCUCAGCUCCUGAGUAGCUGGGAUUACAGGCACGUGCCACCAUGCCCACCUAAUUUUUGUAUUUUUUUUAGUAGAGACGGGGUUACACCAUAUUGGCCAGGAUGGUCUUGAUCUCCUGACCCUGUGAUCCACCCGUCUCAGCCUCCCAAAGUGCUGGCAUUACAGUUGUGAGCCACCACACCCGGCCUGCUUUGUAGUUUUUUAGAAUACAGUUCUUUCACCUCUUUGAUUAAGUUUAUCACUAAGUAUUUCAUUCACUUUGAGGCUACAAUAAAGGGGAUUUUUCUUAAUUUCCUUUUUGGAUAGUUUGUUGUUAGUGUUUAGAAAUAUAACUGAUUUUUGUGUAUUCAUAUUCUGCUAUCUUACUAAAUAUGUUUAUUAUUUUGAACAGAUUUUUGGUGAAGUUUUUAGAAUUUUAUCUGUGGAAGAUCGUAUCAUUUGUUCACAGAGUGAAUUCCAGGCAUAAAACUUUCCCCUGUAUUUGGACCUGCUUUUCUCAAGUGAAUUA